rnacentral:rRNA from 1 species
UACGUAGGGAGCAAGCGUUGUCCGGAAUCAUUGGGCGUAAAGCGCGCGUAGGUGGCCACAUAAGUCCGUUGUGAAAAUCAAAGGCUCAACCUUUGAAAGCCGAUGGAUACUGUGUGGCUAGAGUACGGAAGAGGCGAGUGGAAUUCCUGGUGUAGCGGUGGAAUGCGCAGAUAUCAGGAGGAACACCAAUAGCGAAGGCAGCUCGCUGGGACGUUACUGACACUGAGGCGCGAAAGCGUGGGGAGCGAACAGG